rnacentral:rRNA from 1 species
CGUGCAGGCGGGCCUGCAAGUCUGAUGUGAAAGCCCCGGGCUCAACCUGGGAAGUGCAUUGGAAACUGCGGGUCUUGAGUUCUGGAGAGGAAGGGGGAAGUUCCCGGUGUAGAGGUGAAAUUCGUAGAGAUCGGGAGGAAUACCAGUGGCGAAGGCGCCCUUCUGGACGGCAACUGACGCUGAGACGCGAAAGCGUGGGGAGCAAACAGGAUUAGAUACCCUGGUAGUCCCACGCUGUAAACGAUGAGCACUAGGUGUAGCGGGUACUCAUUCCUGCUGUGCCGCAGCUAACGCGUUAAGUGCUCCGCCUGGGGAUUACGGUCGCAAGACUAAA